rnacentral:tRNA from 1 species
GCAUUUCAAUUUAUGUGCAGUGUGAAGUGCUGUGGGAGUGAGCCCCAAGCAAUGCCGUCCUUAUUCCUGUCG